rnacentral:rRNA from 1 species
UUGGUGAGGUAAUGGCUCACCAAGGCGACGACGGGUAGCCGGCCUGAGAGGGCGACCGGCCACACUGGGACUGAGACACGGCCCAGACUUCUACGGGAGGCAGCAGUGGGGAAUACUACACAAUGGGCGAAAGCCUGAUGCAGCGACGCCGCGUGAGGGAUGACGGCCUUCGGGUUGUAAACCUCUUUCAGCAGGGAAGAAGCGAAAGUGACGGUACCUGCAGAAGAAGCGCCGGCUAACUACGUGCCAGCAGCCGCGGUAAUACGUAGGGCGCAAGCGUUGUCCGGAAUUAUUGGGCGUAAAGAGCUCGUAGGCGGCUUGUCACGUCGGGUGUGAAAGCCCGGGGCUUAACCCCGGGUCUGCAUUCGAUACGGGCUAGCUAGAGUGUGGUAGGGGAGAUCGGAAUUCCUGGUGUAGCGGUGAAAUGCGCAGAUAUCAGGAGGAACACCGGUGGCGAAGGCGGAUCUCUGGGCCAUUACUGACGCUGAGGAGCGAAAGCGUGGGGAGCGAACAGGAUUAGAUACCCUGGUAGUCCACGCCGUAAACGGUGGGAACUAGGUGUUGGCGACAUUCCACGUCGUCGGUGCCGCAGCUAACGC